AGCUGCCUUGGAAUCACUCCUUGUCAUUAGUGAGUUCUACUCAAACAGUUCUGCUAUAUACUUCCACUUUGUUUGGUGUUGUAUUCAGAGCUUUUUAUAAACAGUCUAUGGUGCGGAGGAUUCUCAUGAAAUUAAACUGAAAUUACUUUAUUACUUGUCAUUUGUGUGGCUUUGAUUUGAUUUUAAAUUAUACUUUUUUAACUUUUUUAAACAUUGCCGAUUUGCUAUUUCCGAAGACUGUUGAGAAACUGACAUAAUCAUCCGUCCCAAUUUUACAACUUCUCAACGUAAUUCAGCUCAAUCAAAAGCAAAGCAGCAACAAAAUUAACAGGUUACUUUUACUUUUACUUCAAAAUAGCAGGAAGUGAUUCUAUGGAUGUUGCAGAAAUGACUCAGAUCAGCAACAGUAACUCCUGUGACAUCGUGAGAAAACAUAACAAAAACCUUCAAAUUUGACACUUCAUUUUCCUGGGCCAUCGAGAAUACACAUGCCAAGUGUGAAGUUGCAGGAGCUCUAUGUGGGAGCUGGCUGGAGGGACGUUCUCUGGACGGGCUCUGACUCCUGCACACAGCCCAUCUCUCUGGUCGAACAGAAGAGGAAGACAGCUCAUGGGAGACCUGGUUGAAGAGGAGGAGAAAAUAACAGGGAGUCCAAAACACUGAAAAGUCACUGCUGCAGGCACAAGAGGAAAUUACUGACAAUACGCUGUGUACCUGUGUGUUGGAGACAGUGCUGACUGAUGGAAGAGAGAGAGAGGAGACAUGGGAUGGGAGGAGUCCUGAGGAGGUGCUACACAUGCCCCCCC